rnacentral:ncRNA from 1 species
UAAUAGUUUUAUUUUGGCUAUAAAUUUUAGUGUAAUUAGAUAUUAUAUGUAAAUUUUAGUAAGAGUAUUAUAAAAAUUUAAAUAAUUUUUAUAGGUGGUUUAAGUCGCAGUAAUGAAUUUUAAAAAUUUAAGAAAUUAAGAUUUAGAGAGUAUUUUAAAUAUUAACAAAAUUUGUGCCAGCAGUUGCGGUUAGACAAAUAAUAUAAUUAAAAUUAUUUUAGUUAAAAUUAAUAGAAAAUAUAAAAAUUUAAUUAUGAAAUUAUUAGGUGAAAUUUUUAAUUUAAAGUAAAAUUUAUAUACUUGUUUAUGAGGUUUAAAAAUUCAGAUAAUAAACUAGGAUUAGAUACCCUAUUAUUCUGAGUGUAAAUUUUUUGCUUGGUUAGUAAUAGUUAAGUUCUUGAAAAUAAAAAGAUUUGGCGGUAUUUUAAUCUAUUCAGAGGAACCUGUCCUAUAAUUGAUAACCCACGAUUUGUUUUACUUAUUUUUUAAGUUUGUAUAUCGCUGUAGUUUGAAUUUUUUAGAAGAAAAUUAAUAUUCAAGAUUUUAAUUUUGAAAAUAAAUCAAGUCAAGAUAUAGCUUAUAGAUAAGGAGAGAUGGGUUACAAUAAAUUAAUUUAUUAUGAAUCAAUAUUUUAAAUAAUAUUAUGAAAGUGGAUUUGAAAGUAAUUUUAAUAAAAAUUUUUAAAAUGAUUAUAGCACUAAAAUAUGUACAUAUCGCCCGUCGCUUUCACUUUAAAGUGAAAUAAGUCGUAACAUAGUAGAUGUACUGGAAAGUGUAUCUGGAAGCU